UAAAGCGAAUAAGGGCGCAUGGUGGAUGCCUAGGGUCUGAGAGGCGAUGAAGGACGUGGUAAGCUGCGAUAAGCUUCGGGGAGCUGCACACGAGCGAUAUAUCCGAAGAUUUCCGAAUGGGACAACCUGUUAUACUGAAGGUAUAACACUCGAGAGAGAGCCAACCUCCUGAACUGAAACAUCUAAGUAGGGAGAGGAAAAGAAAACAAUAGUGAUUCCCUGAGUAGUGGCGAGCGAAAGGGGACAAGCCCAAACCUGUUCAACGUGUUGAAUGGGGGUUGUAGGACUACUUUUAGAAAGAUACAUUAAGCUGAAUCAACUGGAAAGUUGGAUCGGAGAAGGUGAAAAUCCUGUAAGCGUAGAUUGUAUUAGACGUGUAGUAUCCUGAGUAGGGCGGGACCGGAGGAAUCCUGCUUGAAACUGCCAGCACCAUCUGGUAAGGCUAAAUACUCCUCAGACACCGAUAGUGAACCAGUACCGUAAGGGAAAGGUGAAAAGAACCCUGAAUAAGGGAGUGAAAUAGUACCUGAAACCGUGCGCUUACAAGCGGUCGGAGUCCUUCGGGAUGACGGCGUGCCUUUUGCAUAAUGAGCCUACGAGUUGCUCCUCACUGGCGAGGUUAAGUUCAUAAUUAACGGAGCCGUAGCGAAAGCGAGUCCGAAUAGGGCGCUUAGUCAGUGGGGGCAGACGCGAAACUUUGUGAUCUAUCCAUGAGCAGGUUGAAGGUUUGGUAACACAAACUGGAGGACCGAACCCGUUGACGUUGAAAAGUCUUGGGAUGACUUGUGGAUAGGGGUGAAAGGCCAAUCAAACUGAGAGAUAGCUCGUUCUCCCCGAAAUGUUUUUAGGAACAGCGUCGCAUACAGGAGUAUUAUAGAGGUAGAGCUACUGAUUGGACUAGGGGGCUUCACCGCCUACCAAAUCCUGACAAACUCCGAAUGCUAUAAUAUAUCUGCGGCAGUGAGGCUUUGGGCGCUAAGGUCCAGGGCCGAGAGGGAAAUAACCCAGAUUAGCAACUAAGGUCCCUAAUACGUAGUUAAGUUGAACAAACGAGGUGGAACUUCAAUAACAGCCAGGAUGUUUGCUUGGAAGCAGCAAUUCAUUUAAAGAGUGCGUAACAGCUCACUGGUCGAGAGGUUCUGCACGGAAAAUAAUCGGGCAUCAAACUACGAACCGAAGUUCUAAACUCGUAAGAGUGGUAGGGGAGCAUUGAAAAUGCGUUGAAGCUGAUAGGCGACUAUUGGUGGAGCGUUUUCAAAAGAAAAUGUAGGCAUAAGUAACGAUAAAAGGAGUGAAAAACUCCUUCGCCGAAAGUCUAAGGUUUCCUGAUCAACGUUAAUCGGAUCAGGGUUAGUCCGGUCCUUAGGCAAACCCGAAAGGGGUAGUUGAUGGAAAGCAGGUUAAUAUUCCUGCACCUGCUAUACGAUGAAAGUGACGCAUAGACGUGGUAGCUGCGUAGUUACGGAAUACUGCGCUGAGAGGAUUCUUCGGAUGAGACGAAGCUAUAAAAUCUGUGCCAAGAAAAGCGAGUAUAGCAGCCGGUACCGUAAACCGACACAGGUAGACGGGAUGAGUAUUCUAAGGCGCUCGGGUGAGCCGUGGAGAAGGAACUAGGCAAAUUAACGCUGUAACUUCGGGAUAAAGCGUUCCAUAGCGAUAUGGACACAGUAGAAUGGUUCAACCAACUGUUUAACAAAAACACAGGGCCCUGCAAAAUCGUAAGAUGACGUAUAGAGCCUGAUACCUGCCCGGUGCUGGAAGGUUAAGGAAGGAUGUUCGGAGCAAUCCAAAGCUUCUGACUGAAGCCCCAGUAAACGGCGGCCGUAACUAUAACGGUCCUAAGGUAGCGAAAUUCCUUGUCGGGUAAGUUCCGACCUGCACGAAUGGUCUAAUGAGUUGAACACUGUCUC
rnacentral:rRNA from 1 species